CUCCGUAUAGCUCAGUCUGGUAGAGCACAUGCUUUGGGAGCAUGGGGUCGAGGGUUCAAAUCCUUCUGCGGAGACCA
rnacentral:tRNA from 1 species